CUGGAAUGAUGUAGCUUAGCAAAAUCAGAUAUUGAUAUGGUCCAUAAGGCAUUGCCUUCAAAGCUUGUACUUGUUAUUGUAGAGGCAGUAGGCACACUGGAUCUCUUUUAUACUCCUGA